UUUUGUUUUGUUUUGUUUUGUUUUUGAGAUAGGGUUUCUCUCUGUCACCCAAGGUGGAGUGCAAUGGCAUAAUUACAGCUCAAUGUAGCGUCAAACUCCUGGGCUCAAGUGAUCCUCCCAUCUCAGCUUUCCAAGUAAUUGCAUAGUUCCAACUACUUGGGACUACAGGUGUGCCCUAUUUGAAGGGAAAAAAAUGUGUCUGGGUGUGCUGCGUCAAAAUAUCCACCAUAAUUCCUGUCAUCUUACUAUUUUACUCUCAUUUCUUCAGGUCCUGCAUGUUUUUUUCUCCUCUAAGAGUUCCCACAGCUGCAAGUGACUAAAAUCUGCUUCCCCAGAUGCAAUGUGGCUGAGGAAUCAACAUCUGGAUCUGACAGUCCGUUCGGCUUCUUCUUCCAGAGCGGAGAUGGAGUUGCAUCGUGUUGCCCAGGCUGAUAUUGAACUCCUGGACUCAAGUGAUCCACCCACCUUGGUUUUCUAAAAUGCUGGGAUUACGGGUGUGAGCUACUGUACCCAGCCUAUAUACAUAUUCUAAUAUAUAAUAAUUAUAUAUAAUAACUAUAUAUGUAAUAAUUUUACAUAUAUAUAUAUACA
rnacentral:lncRNA from 1 species